CCAGAUCUAAUAGCCAGGCAAUGACUAACAGAGCUGGAGAAUGUUUGUAAAAUAGCACUUUUUGCCUAUAGUCUGCAAUUUGUGUUUAAAGGAACCCUUUCGUGUUACGAAUACAAAGAUGUAUAAUUAACAAUAAAAGUGUACCUCUGUCCACACAGCCCGUGUCACCCCCCUGAGUCGUCCAUGAAAGGAUUAAAAACCCUUU